AGAUAAAAAAUUUUAAGCUUCUAACUUAAAUAAAGUCUUCUCUAGACUAUUAUCUU
rnacentral:tRNA from 1 species